GGCAAUGCGAGACCAAAUGGAAUGAUGAGAGACUUUCAUGAAUGCAUCAUGGAUUGUGGGUUGGAGGAUUUGGGUUAUAUCGGCGGCCCCUUCACUUGGAGAAGAGGUGAUGUACGCGAGCGCCUGGAUCAGGUAGUUUGCAAUAUUGGUAGGGCCCAUAAAUUUCCUCGAGCGGAGGUGAUCAACGAAGAGCACAUUCACUCUGACCAUCGCCCGUUGAUCCUGCAUGUGGAUUAUUUGGAUGACAAAAUCUUCAGAAUACUGGAGGGUCGUGGGAAACAAUUCGAAGCUAGGUGGUUAAAGGAGGAGACGUUCACUGAGAUUGUUUGGACACCGUGGGAAAAAGCAAAGCUAGCAGGUAUUGGCCCUUCUGUUGUUGAUCGAAGGUGA
rnacentral:rRNA from 1 species